AUUGAACGCUGGCGGCAGGCCUAACACAUGCAAGUCGAACGAGUGGCGGACGGGUGAGUAAUGUCUGGGAAACUGACUGAUGGAGGGGGAUAACUACGGGAAACGGUGGCUAAUACCGCAUACCAUCAGAUGGGCCCAGAUGGGCGUAGCUUGUUGUUGGGGUAACGGCUCACCAAGGCGACGAUCCCUAGCUGGUCUGAGAGGAUGACCAGCCACACUGGAGCGGCUACACGUUCCAGACUCCUACGGGGGCCGCCAGUUGUUAUUAUUGCACACUGCGCGCAAGCCUGAUGCAGCCAUUCCGCGUGUAUUGAGACGUCCUUCGGUUUGUAAGGUACUUUCACCGGGGAGGCGUUACCCGCAGAUGAAGCACCGGCUAACUCCGUGCCAGCAGCCGCGGUAAUUC
rnacentral:rRNA from 1 species